GACGAACGCUGGCGGCGUGCUUAACACAUGCAAGUCGAACGGUAAGGCCCUUCGGGGUACACGAGUGGCGAACGGGUGAGUAACACGUGAGAAAUCUGCCUUCAACACUGGGAUAACUCCGGGAUACCGGGGCUAAUACCGGAUAUGAAACCUGCGGGCAUCCGCGGGCUUGGAAAGUUUUUCGGUUGAAGAUGAUCUCGAGGCCGAUCAGCUUGUUGGUGAGGUAAUGGCUCACCAAGGCGACGACGGGUAGCCGGACUGAGAGGGCGACCGGCCAAACUGGGACUGAGACACGGCCCAGACUCCUACGGGAGGCAGCAGUGGGGAAUAUUGGGCAAUGGAGGAAACUCUGACCCAGCGACGCCGCGUGCGGGAUGAAGGCCUUCGGGUUGUAAACCGCUUUCAGCAGGGAAGAAGCGAAAGUGACGGUACCUGCAGAAGAAGCACCGGCUAACUAUGUGCCAGCCGCCGCGGUAA
rnacentral:rRNA from 1 species